rnacentral:rRNA from 1 species
UUAUGGCUCAGGAUGAACGCUAGCGACAGGCUUAACACAUGCAAGUCGAGGGGCAGCAUAAAAGUAGCAAUACGUUGGUGGCGACCGGCGCACGGGUGAGUAACGCGUAUGCAACCUACCUAUCAGAGGGGAAUAACCCGGCGAAAGUCGGACUAAUACCGCAUAAAACAGGGGCACCGCAUGGUGAUAUUUGUUAAAGAAAUUCGCUGAUAGAUGGGCAUGCGUUCCAUUAGGUAGUUGGUGAGGUAACGGCUCACCAAGCCGACGAUGGAUAGGGGAACUGAGAGGUUGGUCCCCCACACUGGUACUGAGACACGGACCAGACUCCUACGGGAGGCAGCAGUGAGGAAUAUUGGUCAAUGGGCGGGAGCCUGAACCAGCCAAGUCCGCGUGAAGGAAGAAGGAUCUAUGGUUCGUAAACUUCUUUUGCAGGGGAAUAAAGUGCAGGACGUGUCCUGUUUUGUAUGUACCCUGAGAAUAAGGAUCGGCUAACUCCGUGCCAGCCGCCGC